GAGGAGCUUGCUUCUCUGGAUGAGUUGCGAACGGGUGAGUAACGCGUAGGUAACCUGCCUGGUAGCGGGGGAUAACUAUUGGAAACGAUAGCUAAUACCGCAUAAGAGUAGAUGUUGCAUGACAUUUACUUAAAAGGUGCAAUUGCAUCACUACCAGAUGGACCUGCGUUGUAUUAGCUAGUUGGUGAGGUAACGGCUCACCAAGGCGACGAUACAUAGCCGACCUGAGAGGGUGAUCGGCCACACUGGGACUGAGACACGGCCCAGACUCCUACGGGAGGCAGCAGUAGGGAAUCUUCGGCAAUGGACGGAAGUCUGACCGAGCAACGCCGCGUGAGUGAAGAAGGUUUUCGGAUCGUAAAGCUCUGUUGUAAGAGAAGAACGAGUGUGAGAGUGGAAAGUUCACACUGUGACGGUAUCUUACCAGAAAGGGACGGCUAACUACGUGCCAGCAGCCGCGGUAAUACGUAGGUCCCGAGCGUUGUCCGGAUUUAUUGGGCGUAAAGCGAGCGCAGGCGGUUAGAUAAGUCUGAAGUUAAAGGCUGUGGCUUAACCAUAGUACGCUUUGGAAACUGUUUAACUUGAGUGCAAGAGGGGAGAGUGGAAUUCCAUGUGUAGCGGUGAAAUGCGUAGAUAUAUGGAGGAACACCGGUGGCGAAAGCGGCUCUCUGGCUUGUAACUGACGCUGAGGCUCGAAAGAGUGGGGAGCAAACAGGAUUAGAUACCCUGGUAGUCCACGCCGUAAACGAUGAGUGCUAGGUGUUAGACCCUUUCCGGGGUUUAGUGC
rnacentral:rRNA from 1 species